AGAGCGAACGCUGGCGGCAGGCUUAACACAUGCAAGUCGCACGAGAAAGUGGAGCAAUCCACGAGUAAAGUGGCGCACGGGUGAGUAACACGUGAAUAAUCUACCUCCGAGUGGGGAAUAACUGAGAGAAAUCUUAGCUAAUACCGCAUAAUACCCACGGGUCAAAGCAGCAAUGCGCUUGGAGAGGAGUUCGCGGCCGAUUAGCUAGUUGGCGGGGUAAUGGCCCACCAAGGCGAUGAUCGGUA
rnacentral:rRNA from 1 species